rnacentral:tRNA from 1 species
GUUGAGAUGACUGAGUUGGCAGAAGCCGACAGAUUAAGGGUGAAGUUUGUAAGGGCGUGGGUUCGAAUCCCACUCUCGGCC